AGGGCCCCGAGGCCACACCGCCCCCCCGCAGAUCACCGGCCCCCAGCACCCGUGCGGAGCAGGAGCCCGCGCUGCCGGACGAGCCGCUCUACGCCAACGUCACGGGGCCGGACGAGGCUCUGGGACUGUGGGACGAGACGGACCAUUACUAGAGGCCACCGCCCCCGUCGCCGUCUCCCCGUGACAGCACACACGGCCUCCCGCCCUCACCCACUGCCACCGCGGGCAGCGCGUCCCUGCUCCCCGCCCCGGGGCCCGACGAGGCUCCCGCAGCCCCGGCGCCGCUUUGCUGCGUUAACGAGCUGCUCAGCACCGAUCCUGCAGCCGGAGCGACCCCGGCUCCCCGGGAUCUGCCGGCAAGUGCAUUGAUUACUCGGAGUUAGGAUGCACUAUAAUAAAGCACUGGAUGGAUGAA